rnacentral:rRNA from 1 species
ACGUGCGCAGGCGGUUAUGUAAGACAGAUGUGAAAUCCCCGGGCCGUCAACCUGGGAACUGCAUUUGUGACUGCAUGGCUAGAGUACGGUAGAGGGGGAGUGGAAUUCCGCGUGUAGCAGUGAAAUGCGUAGAUAUGUGGAGGAACACCGAUGGCGAAGGCAGCCCCCUGGGUCAAGAUUGACGCUCAUGCACGAAAGCGUGGGGAGCAAACAGGAUUAGAUACCCUAGU